rnacentral:rRNA from 1 species
GGUAUCUUCCCUUUGGUGAGGAAUAACACGAGGAAACUUGUGCUAAUACCUCAUAAGUCUUCACGGAGAAAGCUUUAUGCGCCGAAGGAUGAGCCUGCACUUGAUUAGUUUGUUGGUGGGGUAAUGGCCUACCAAGACUUUGAUCUAUAGCUGAUCUGAGAGGAUGAUCAGCCACAUUGGGACUGAGACACGGCCCAAACUCCUACGGGAGGCAGCAGUAGGGAAUAUUGCACAAUGGAGGAAACUCUGAUGCAGCGAUGCCGCGUGAGUGAAGAAGGCCUUUGGGUUGUAAAGCUCUUUCGUCGGGGAAGAAAAUGACUGUACCCGAAUAAGAAGGUCCGGCUAACUUCGUGCCAGCAGCCGCGGUAAUACGAAGGGACCUAGCGUAGUUCGGAAUUACUGGGCUUAAAGAGUUCGUAGGUGGUUAAAAAAGUUGGUGGUGAAAUCCCAGAGCUUAACUCUGGAACUGCCAUCAAAACUUUUUAGCUAGAGUAUGAUAGAGGAAAGCAGAAUUUCUAGUGUAGAGGUGAAAUUCGUAGAUAUUAGAAAGAAUACCAAUUGCGAAGGCAGCUUUCUGGAUCAUUACUGACGCUGAGGAACGAAAGCAUGGGUAGCGAAGAGGAUUAGAUACCCUCGUAGUCCAUGCCGUAAACGAUGUGUGUUAGACGUUGGAAAUUUAUUUUCAGUGUCGCAGCGAAAGCAUUAAACACACCGCCUGGGGAGUACGACCGCAAGGUUAAAACUCAAAUGAAUUGACGGGGACCCGCACAAGUAGUGGAGCAUGUGGUUUAAUUCGAAGAUACGCGCAGAACCUUACCAACACUUGACAUGUUCGUCGCGACUCUAAGAGAUUAGAGUUUUCGGUUCGGCCGGACGAAACACAGGUGCUGCAUGGCUGUCGUCAGCUCGUGUCGUGAGAUGUUGGGUUAAGUCCC